UACAGAGGGGGCCAGCGUUAUUCGGAAUUAUUGGGCGUAAAGGGCGCGUAGGCGGCCAUGCGUGUCUUCCGUGAAAUCCCUCGGCUUAACCGAGGACGUGCGGAAGAAACUGCAAGGCUCGAGUCCGGAAGAGGGGGGCGGAAUUCCCAGUGUAGCGGUGAAAUGCGUAGAUAUUGGGAGGAACACCAGUGGCGAAGGCGGUCCCCUGGGCCGGAACUGACGCUGAGGCGCGAAAGCGUGGGUAGCAAACAGG
rnacentral:rRNA from 1 species